UCCUGGCUCAGGACGAACGCUGGCGGCGUGCUUAACACAUGCAAGUCGAACGGUCUACCUCGACUGAAACCUUCGGGUUGACGACGAGAUCUAGAUAGUGGCGGACGGGUGAGUAACACGUGAAUAAUCUGUCCUC
rnacentral:rRNA from 1 species